CCUACGGGAGGCAGCAGUGGGGAAUAUUGCACAAUGGGGGGAACCCUGAUGCAGCGACGCCGCGUGAGUGAAGAAGUAUUUCGGUAUGUAAAGCUCUAUCAGCAGGGAAGAAAAUGACGGUACCUGACUAAGAAGCCCCGGCUAACUACGUGCCAGCAGCCGCGGUAAUACGUAGGGGGCAAGCGUUAUCCGGAUUUACUGGGUGUAAAGGGAGCGCAGACGGCUGUGCAAGUCUGGAGUUAAAGGCGGGGGCCCAACCCCCGGACUGCUCUGGAAACUGUAAAGCUGGAGUGUAGGAGAGGUAAGCGGAAUUCCUAGUGUAGCGGUGAAAUGCGUAGAUAUUAGGAGGAACACCAGUGGCGAAGGCGGCUUACUGGACUGCAACUGACGUUGAGGCUCGAAAGCGUGGGGAGCAAACAGGAUUAGAUACCCUAGUAGUC
rnacentral:rRNA from 1 species